rfam:Tulasnella calospora MTT 4182 unplaced genomic scaffold scaffold_122, whole genome shotgun sequence.
GGCAAGAUGGCCGAGCGGUCUAAGGCGCUAGUUUCAGGUUGUGAUUACUAGUCUUCACGGGCGUGGGUUCGAAUCCCACUCUUGUCA